UAAGGAAUAUUGGUCAAUGGACGCAAGUCUGAACCAGCCAUGCCGCGUGAAGGAUGAAGGUCCUCUGGAUUGUAAACUUCUUUUAUCUGGGACGAAAACGGGAUUUUUAUCUCAAUUGACGGUACCAGAGGAAUAAGCACCGGCUAACUCCGUGCCAGCAGCCGCGGUAAUACGGAGGGUGCGAGCGUUAUCCGGAUUUACUGGGUUUAAAGGGUGCGUAGGUGGGCUUAUAAGUCAGUGGUGAAAUCUCCGAGCUUAACUUGGAAACUACCGUUGAUACUAUAGGUCGUGAAUUAUCUGGAGGUAAGCGAAAUAUGUCAUGUAGCGGUGAAAUGCUUAGAUAUGACAUAGAACACCAAUUGCGAAGGCAGCUUACUACAUAUAAAUUGACGCUGAGGCACGAAAGCGUGGGGAUCAAACA
rnacentral:rRNA from 1 species